ACCACUCACUUAUCUCUUCCUCUCGAUCUCUCUCUCUGCCUCUCCCUUGAUCUUAGCCGGGUCUCGUGGGAGACAAACAGAGAGAGUGAGAGAUAUAUAAAAGAUAAUCACAAACCCUAGCUAUAGAUUGAGAUUCUUCUCUAAUCACGAUUCAAAGAAGGGGCUUUCUCUUUUGAGGGGGAUGUUGUCUGGCUCGAGGACUCUAGCUCGCUCUAUUCAUGUUUUGGGUCUUUUUCGAUCUAAUAUUUGAACCUCCAGAUUUUCAGAUCUGAUUUAGGGUUUUAGCGUCGUCGGACCAGGCUUCAUUCCCUCCAAUUGUUGUUCUUCAUGUUUCUCAAUUUUAGGGUUUCAGAUCCCAGUGACUGUUAAAGAUUGGUGUAAUGAUGAAAGAAUAUGACUUUCUUUCUUCUCUUGGAAUCUGAAAAGUUUCAUCAUUACAACCUUUUUCUACAUUUGUUUUACAUUUUUCCAUAUACCCUGCUAUGAUUUUGCUAUGAUUGUUUCUUUUCUUUUUUUGUCAGGAAAUUUAAGUUAUGAGGUUGGAUCUUCAUGGUCAUGAAUGGUGAUGGAAAAGAGAGUUUUUACGCCAUAUAUGUAAGGAAAUAUUCUGCAGUUGCUUUUGCAUGGGAAGAUUAAGAGCUUGAAUUUUAUCCUCUUUCUCCUUCUAAGUUGCUCUCACUGUAAAAUGUAUUUUAUUUAUAUGAAUCAGUCUCGGAUUUUACUUAGUA